UGGGGAGUACGGCCGCAAGGUUAAAACUCAAAUGAAUUGACGGGGGCCCGCACAAGCGGUGGAGCAUGUGGUUUAAUUUGAAGCAACGCGAAGAACCUUACCAGGCCUUGACAUCCAAUGAACUUUCCAGAGAUGGAUUGGUGCCUUUGGGAACAUUGAGACAGGUGGUGCAUGGCUGUUGUCAGCUCGUGUUGUGAGAUGUUGGGUUAAGUCCCGUAACGAGCGCAACCCUUGUCUUUAGUUACCAGCCAGUAAUGGUGGCCAUUUUAAGGAGACUGCCGGUGACAAACCGGAGGAAGGUGGGGAGGACGUCAAGUCAUCAUGGCCCUUACGCCCUGGGCUACACACGUGCUCCAAUGGUCGGUACAAAGGGUUGCCAAGCCGGGAGGUGGAGCUAAUCCCAUAAAACCGAUUGUAGUCCGGAUCCCAGUUUGCAAUUGGACUGCGUGAAGUCGGAAUCGCUAGUAAUCGCGAAUCAGAAUGUCGCGGUGAAUACGUUCCCGGCCCUUGUACACACCGCCCGUCACACCAUGGGAGUGGGUUGCACCAGAAGUAGCUAGUUUAACCUUCGGAGGACGGU
rnacentral:rRNA from 1 species